AACUUUAUCCGCCCAAGGUAGAACACCAGACAGAUUGCUCAAGGACUGCUGAAUCUUAGAAAAGGUACAUCUCUGUUGGACACGUGAACUGCAGUAAGACAAGUGUCGGCCGGACGUAGCGUAGAUAGACUAUUUUUCCGUACGGAGUGCUAGACCCUAGACAACACGCAAUUUUUCAUCGGUCUCGGACUGGAAUACGAUUUUAGAAGAAAGAAUUAUCGGGCGAUAUUACGUGUGAUGCAAUGAAUCCGGGAUAUAGUCGAAACCUAGUAAAUUCACUGUCGUUAAUUAGUUAGUGCCGUAUUUCGAAGCAUUUGGACUACGCAGUACAAAGGCGAGAAAAUUCCGUAUCCGACAAAAAAACGGAACAAGUCCAGAGGAAAUUAUUGAAAGGGAAAAGAAGGCUAGGUGGGUAAAAGGAAACCGCCGCAAGUGAAGAACACGGCGCGGAACUGUCUGUGCUGGAGGACGUGGAGCAAAGGGGAGACAGAAGAUUCUCACCGGGUAGCGACUAUAGUGUACAACCGAAGAGCCGGCUGGAAACGAGAGCAAAAGUCCCAUCUCCCCCCAAGUGACCGUGUUUUGCUCUGGUCGGUCUAAAAAGGGAUAGGGUUGGUCGUCAACGCAGGCGGUAGGAGUGCGGCGGCACACAUAGGCGGGGGAAUUGUGUGUAGUGCAGGAGCGGGCUACCACAGCCGCAGAAGCUCCAGUCGGGCCAGACUUUAUGUACAAUAAUCACGCUCCUCCGAGAAAAGAGACGGAGAGCGGAUUCGCAACCCGGCGAACGUGCAGACAGCAGGGCCGAGUGAGCGGCUCCCAGACAAAGGAGACUGAAACAAGAAGACUGACACCGACACAACGAAUCGCCGAGGCGGGGGAGGCAACAAGCGAAACGAGAUAUUACAUGCAAUUAUCGGACGAGGUUUCAAAAAUCGCUGCAUUGCACUAAAACAAAAACGUGAAACGUUUUUGAAGCAUUACAACAAAGCAAUAAAAGACACGGAGAUUCUGUUUUUAUUUAUCAAGGUGCAAAAUUAAACUGGUUGCGCGAAGUUAAAUCGUAGGCUAUAAAAUAUCAUCAUUAACCUAAAGUAACAAACGCUAGUUUGAUUGUCGUCGCUCUAAUACACUACAAAACAUCGUUAAACGUAGCAUUUGACAUCCAUCAGAAUCAAAAGUUAGAAGGAAUCUCGGAUUAGCAAAUUUUGACGUAGUAUCUAAGCUCGUAAAUAUAAAGCAUUUUUGGACGUCAAACAUUCGAAUACACUUUCAUCGCAAUUAGUAGAAAUUACUUUCUCGCAUAAAUUGACAGUCGAUCAUGCGAUUUUUGUAAGAAGUCAAAUCAAACCACAAUUUCUAGGCAAAUAUUUAACCCGAACUUAGUCAAAUUUAAUAAUACGCAAACACAUUUCUUCGAAGAGGAAGCAAAAAAUCAGCACUUCUAAAGGUUAGACUUUUUACAUACACGAGAACAUAAAUAACACGCACAUACCGAUUAAUAAAGCAAGGCAAAGCGAACCAAGAAGACUACAGGAAUAAAACAACCGAAUCAUAGAACAUUAGAUCUUCCUUGAAGUCUCCUCCGUGAGAACCACCAGCAGGGCGGCAUCGGCGGCGUGGACGGCAACAGCAACUACAACAACAACUAGCGCAAAAGUGUAAACAGAGCAACAACAGGGAUAAACCAACGAGAACACAGGAGAAGGAAACAGGAAAACAUCAACUACGAACUUACUACCCUUACCUAGCCCCCACCAUCAUUGUGUGAAUUAGCAAAAAAGGAGAAAAAAAUACUGUCGGAGCUGCGCGACUAGCGUGGCGGAAAGUUCUUCAUCGCAACG